GUGACAGAGUCGAGCAGAGUAACGUGUAACGUGUGCACGAAGAUAGCCGCUAUCUCUCGGCCGGAGGCGGUGUCCGAUGUCCGGCCACCAACACGCGGUGCCGUCGUUGCGAACGAGCUCCUUUCGUCACCUCUCGACCUGGCUUAUUGUUCGACGAUAUUAAUUUUAACGGCGCGUAGAUACGCCGGACGAUGACACCGCGAGAACACGAGACGCACCUGCGAUGCGGCGUCGUCACAGGAUUGCUCGAGUUAAAACCGAGUCUUUAAAUUUCUCGGCUUUUGCCCGGGAAAUUUUAACUUUGUAGAUGACGUAACAUGUUGAAAUGAUAGAUUUAAUACGAGAUGUUUUAUAUUUAAAUCAACAUGGUUUCUCUUCAUCCCUUUUUUGGGAUCUAAUAAAUUAUACAAACCGAAUUUACAACAAAUUUAUUUUCGAGGACCAAUUGCCUGUAAACGACGUACACUCAAACGAAUAUCGGAUUGUCGAGUACGUCUUUAGAUUUAACAGAAAUGAAGGAGGGAUGAUGAAAUCGGUCGUCCCCGGAUUCGUUUUGAUAAGGAAGAGCAUCAUCCCUAUCCCAAGGGUCGGAAACAGGAGGACGUACAAAGAGGGUGAGAGAGACAGAGAGGAGGAGAGAAAAUGGCGGCCCAGAGGGAAAUCCGACACCAAAUCGAAGGAGACGCCAUCGCAAAGCGCGGCGCCGCCCCUUUAUCAUUGGGUCUUGGCUUCGGCACGAUGUCAUCCUCGAAUCCAUAAGCUCGAGCGUAAUCAAAUCGGAAUAAUUUUCAUAAUCAUCCUUGCGCUUCAUACGUCUCAAAAUUUAUUUU